rnacentral:lncRNA from 1 species
CCAAGGUUUAUGUGAGAAAGAAAAAUAAAUAAAGGUGCAAGAAAGGGACAGCCGGCAGUGGAACAUGCGCGUGGGAGUUAAAGGCAGAAAGAAAGGGGAUCUGGGUUUUUAUGAAAAGAGUAAAGUAAAUUUAGGGUUUGGGAGAGGAGCUGGACCUCUCGAAGUUUCCAUGUUGUUUGUUGCGUUUAUCUUUCUUUUGAGUUAUAAUCAGUAGCUAUUUUGCUCUGUAGAGUGUUAAUCGAAGUUUACUGGGUCUUUUUUGUCUCAUUUCUUAUUUUAGAGUUGUUUUAGUGUAAAUCUCCGAUCCAGUUCAUCACAAGUGGUAUCCGAGCGCUACGAUCUAUGGUGCCUUCCACACCUACAGUGGGUCAACGUGUCGAGGAGUUGGAAGAGGCGGUGGGUGGACUGGAGAGUAAAACCUUGGCGUUGGUGUCUCAGGCUGUUGAGAAAGCUGUUGCGGUUAUGAAGCACUCGUUGGUCGAGUUGUUGCUCGAAGGUCAGUCCGAACAGUCCCGCAAAACCAAUGGGGAGUUAGAAUCGGUGGCAUCGCGACUCGAGAAUCGUAUUGCGAGAUCUCGCGAACACCAGGAGACUCUCAUUUAUUCGAUGAAGAAUGAUUUAGACCAAUUUCAGGCCGAGAUUCGCAAUACAAUCAGUCAACUUCCCCCCCUGAAAUCUCCCUCGCCAGAAGUGCUGGCGGCCGAAUCGGUAGGUCGUGGAGUCGGUUUCUCCCCAAGGGCACAUGGGUUGGUCAUUUGGAGCAUCAGAGAUGGAUCUUAAUGGACCUGGUGGGUCUGGUGGUGGUCUGGGAAAUUGGCGUUUUCGAAAACUUGACAUGUCAGUUUUCAAUGGUGAAGAUCCGGAUGAUUGGGUAGUACAGGUGGAGCGAUAUUUCAACUUUUAGAGGCUGUGGUUGUUGCUUUGGAAGGGGAUACCCUGAUAUGGUACCAGUGGGAGACCAAAAGACACCCGACCCGCAGGUGGGCAGAUCUGAAGGGUUUUGUUCUUAGGCAAUUUCGUUCAUCUAGUGGUGGCUCCUUGUACGAGCAAUGGUUAGCGACUGUUCAAACAGCAUCGGUGGUAGAGUACCAACGCAAAUUCAUCCAAACUGCAGCCCCUUUAGAUCAUAUUUCAGAGGAUAUACUAUUGGGACAAUUUGUGAAUGGGCUUAAGGAUAAUAUCAAAGCUGAACUCCGUGUGUUGAGUCCUAUGACUCUCGAACAGGCUAUGGAAUUGGCCGUUCGCAUUGAAGAUAAGCAGAAAGCAUGUUGGUUCAAGCGGACUACUGUGAGCUCUUUUCGGGGUGGAUUUUCGAGUUUCCCAUCUAAAGGUACUCCCUCGACUGUAACCUUUUUUAUUUCACAGCCUAGUCCUACUUCGGUUCGCAGUUGGGCAGUGGGUGCCAGUGAGUCGCAGUCCUCAGUCACUUCUCCCAGAUUGGGGGGCACUGGUUCUAAUCGAGGGGCUGGGGAGGUUCGGAAGUUGUCCGACAAGGAGUUGCAGGAAAAGAGGGCUAAGGGUUUAUGCUUUCGUUGUGAUGACAAAUGGAAUGUUGGCCACCGGUGUAAGAAGCGCGAACUCGGUGUGUUGCUGUUGGAGGGAGAUGACGAGGACGGCGUGGAUGAUAGUCAUAGUGAACUUCCACCGUCUCCAACGGAAGAACUAUCACCGGAGGUCAGCCUACACCCAGAGGUUUCGCUCAAUUCGGUUGUGGGGUUAUCUAAUCCGCGCACAAUGAAAUUGCGUGGCAAGGUAGGCGGCGCACAUGAGGUCAUUGUGUUAAUUGACCCGGGGGCCACACACAAUUUUGUGUCCCUCGCCAAAGUGGCAGCCCUCAAGCUACCAGUGUCGGAUUCUGGUGGUUUUAGUGUGUCCCUAAGCAAUGGAAAGGCUGUGAAGGGGAGUGGGGUUUGUGAAGGUGUGUUGUUAGAAUUGACAGGAGGACUAAUAAUAGAGGAGGAUUUCUUACCCCUGGAUUUGGGCACGACAUACAUGAUUCUAGGUGUUCAAUGGUUGGAGAAAUUGGGUGUUGUUGUCACCAACUGGAAGUCUCAGAUUAUGCAAUUCACCGUGGGCACGAAUAUAGUCACAUUGGCGGGGGAUCCGUCUUUAACAAAGUCUAAGAUCUCUGUGAAGACGAUGAUUAAGACUAUACGAAAACAGAAACAAGCUUUCAUAGUUGAGGUCAAUAAACUCGAAGCUCCGCUGCCUGAAGUUUCCGAGCCUGCUGUACCUGAAUUUGUGGCUGAGAUUGUCACUCGCCAUGGUAGCUUAUUUAUUGAGCCGAGUGGAUUACCACCUGUUCACGGCCACGAGCAUCGGAUCAUCUUAAAAGAAGGCGGUAAUCUAGUGGGUGCAAGGCCGUACCGCUACCAACAAUCUCAGAAAGAUGAGAUCGAACGAUUAAUUCAAGAAAUGCUCUCUGCUGGUAUUAUCAAACCCUCAACUAGCCCAUACUCUAGUCCAGUUUUAUUGGUUUGUAACAAAGAUGGUUAGUGGCGUUUUUGUGUUGAUUAUCGGGCUUAAAAUAAGGAGACUAUACCGGACAAGUAUCCGAUUCCGGUGAUUGAGGAGUUACUUGAUGAGUUGCAUGGAGCUCGGUAUUUCUCUAAGUUGGACUUGAAGUCCGGCUCUCAUUAGAUUUUGAUCCACCCGGAAGACAAUCCUAAGACAGCUUUUCGUACCCAUGAUGGUCAUUACGAAUUUUUGGUUAUGCCGUUCGGGCUUAUGAAUGCCCCGACAACUUUUCAGUCCCUCGUGAAUGAUGUUUUCAGGCCCUAUCUUCGGAAGUUUGUUUUGGUGUUUUUCGAUGAUAUUUUGGUAUAUAGUCCAACCUCUUCAAGUCAUUGUGAACAUUUGGAUGUGGUCUUAACUGCCCUGGAGUCUAACAGCCUUGUAGUGAAUUCUAAGAAAUGCGUUUUUGGUCAACAGGAAGUGUCGUAUUUGGGCCACACAAUUUCAGGGGAUGGCGUUGAUGCUGAUAAAGACAAAAUCAGAGCUAUACUUGGCUGGGAAUUGCCAAAGACUCUUCGUGAGUUACGGGGGUUUUUAGGCCUAACAGGCUACUACAGAAAAUACGUGGCCAAGUACGCUUAAUUGGCAGGGCCGCUUACAGAUCAACUACGUAAAGACAGUUGUUGCUGGACAGAGCAAGCUACUACGGCGUUUAAUUUGUUGAAACAAGCCAUGACGACCCCACCAGUACUAGCAACACCAGAUUUCACACGGGGGUUCAUAAUUGAAACUGAUGCUUCGGGAAAAGGUCUGGGUGCAGUCUUGAUGCAAGGCAACCGUCCUCUUGCAUUCUUUAGUAAGUUACUGGGUCCCAAAGCUCAGCAAAAGCCUAUCUACGAGAAGGAACUCAUGGCUGUUUGUAUGGCCAUCCAAAAGUGGCGGUACUAUUUGUUGGGAAGGCAUUUCAUUGUCCGGACGGACCAACAGAGCUUGCGUUACUUAGCACAACAGAAAGAGAUUGGGGUGGGAGUAUCAGAAAUGGAUGACCAAGCUUAUGGGCUACUCGUUUGACAUUCAGUUCAAACCAGGCAAAGUCAAUCAGGCAGCAGAUGCUCUAUCAAGGAAGUCCACAAGAGAAAUUUGUUUGGCUGCAAUGCUUUCGGUUAAUAUGGUUGAUUGGGCUGAGUUGCAGAUGGAGGUUCAGCAGGACCCGUUACUGAAUCAAAUUCGACAAGAGCUGCUGAAUAACAGCAAAGAUCAUACGGGUUUUGAAUUGGUUGAUGGGAAACUGCUCUACAAGGGCAGGACAGUGGUUCCAAAACAAUCCUGUUUCAAAGAAUUACUUCUCCAGAAAUAUCACAGCUCUCCAGUUGGGGGCCACAAUGGUGAGGUCAAAACAUAUAAAAGGGCUGCAGCUGAUUGGUAUUGGGUGGGCAUCCGUGCGGAUGUAACCAAGUAUGUGCAGGGGUGUCAAGUCUGCCAACAGAAUAAGGCCUUGCAGCAGUCACCGGCGGGGUUGCUUCAACCACUACCAAUGCCGACACGAGUGUGGGAGGACAUGUCUAUUGAUUUUAUUAAGGGGUUACCGAGUUCUAAAGGGGUGGACACUAUUCUUGUUGUGGUAGACAGAUUUUCUCAGUAUGCGCAUUUUCUGGGAUUGAAGCAUCCUUUUACAGCUAUUAUUGUAGCAGACUUAUUUGUCCGUGAGGUGGUUCGACUUCAUGGUUUUCCAGCGUCAAUUGUUUCGGAUCGAGAUCGUAUCUUUUUAAGUUUGUUCUGGCGGGAGUUAUUUAAGUUGCAAGGUACUGAGUUGAAGCGUAGCACCGCUUAUCAUCCUCAAACGGAUGGACAGACGGAGAUUGUUAAUAAAACUCUAGAGACAUAUCUUCGUUGUUUUACUGCUUGACAGCCUCGUAGUUGGUCUAAGUGGUUGGCUUGGGCUGAGUUCUCGUACAAUACAUCAUCCCACUCGUCCACACGGUACACACCCUUUAAGAUAGUUUAUGGUCGCGAACCACCUGCCAUUAUCCGGAUUAGUAGAGGCCAGUCACCAGUGAACAGCAUUGAGGACCUGUUGUGUGACCGUGAUGCCAUGUUGGAUGACUUGCACUUUAACCUGUUACGUGCUCAGCAGCGUAUGAAGCAUUUUGCAGAUUUAAAACGCCGCGAUGACAGUUUUUCAGUGGGGGAUAAAGUGUAACUGCGCUUACAGCCAUACCGCCAACGUUCUUUGGCUAAACGACCUUUUAAAAAGCUAGCUGCCCGAUAUUAUGGUCCUUUUGAAGUGAUUGCACGAGUAGGCCAGGUGGCUUAUAAGCUACAGCUACCAGAUUCUUGCCAGCUACAUCCGGUUUUUCAUGUUUCGCAACUCUGGAGAGCUCUGGGCUCACAGGACUCGUCACCCACCAUUCCACAGCAGUUAACCUCAGAUUUGGAGUUAGUGGUGCAGCCUGAGAAGCUGUUGCAGGUUAGAAGAGUGGGCAAUUCUGCUACAGGGCACUUGGAAGUAUUGAUUCAAUGGAAGCGAUUACCAGAGUUCAAGGCCACUUGGGAACAAGCUGAUUCGUUACAAGAGUAAUUCCCGGAGUUUCAUCUUGAGCACAAGAUGGCUGUUUGGGGGGAAGGUAAUGUGAUACCAAGGGCAGAACUGUCAAAGCAAACCAAGGUUUAUGUGAGAAAGAAAAAUAUAUAAAGGUGCAAGAAAAGGACACCUGGCAGUGGAACAUGUGCGUGGGAGUUAAAGGCAGAAAGAAAGGGCAUCUGGGUUUUUAUGAAAAGAGUGAAGUAAAAUUAGGGUUUGAGAGAGGAGCUGGACCUCUCAAAGUUUCCAUGCUGUUUGUUGCUUUUAUCUUUCUUUUGGGUUGUAAUCAGUAACUAUUUUGCUCUGUAGAGUAUUAAUCGAAGUUUACUGAGUCUUUUCUGUCUCAUUUCUUAUUUUAGAGCUGUUUUAGUGUAAAUCUCCGAUCCAGUUCAUCACAAAAUGUGCACAAGCAUCUUUGUAGGUAC